AGAGUUUGAUCCUGGCUCAGGACGAACGCUGGCGGCGUGCUUAACACAUGCAAGUCGAACGGAAAGGCCCUUCGGGGUACUCGAGUGGCGAACGGGUGAGUAACACGUGGGUGAUCUGCCCUGCACUUUGGGAUAAGCCUGGGAAACUGGGUCUAAUACCGAAUAUGACCAUGCACUUCCUGGUGUGUGGUGGAAAGCUUUUGCGGUGUGGGAUGGGCCCGCGGCCUAUCGGCUUGUUGGUGGGGUAAUGGCCUACCAAGGCGACGACGGGUAGCCGGCCUGAGAGGGUGACCGGCCACACUGGGACUGAGAUACGGCCCAGACUCCUACGGGAGGCAGCAGUGGGGAAUAUUGCACAAUGGGCGCAAGCCUGAUGCAGCGACGCCGCGUGAGGGAUGACGGCCUUCGGGUUGUAAACCUCUUUCAGCACAGAUGAAGCGCAAGUGACGGUAUGUGCAGAAGAAGGACCGGCCAACUACGUGCCAGCAGCCGCGGUAAUACGUAGGGUCCGAGCGUUGUCCGGAAUUACUGGGCGUAAAGAGCUCGUAGGUGGUUUGUCGCGUUGUUCGUGAAAACUCACAGCUUAACUGUGGGCGUGCGGGCGAUACGGGCAGACUUGAGUACUGCAGGGGAGACUGGAAUUCCUGGUGUAGCGGUGGAAUGCGCAGAUAUCAGGAGGAACACCGGUGGCGAAGGCGGGUCUCUGGGCAGUAACUGACGCUGAGGAGCGAAAGCGUGGGGAGCGAACAGGAUUAGAUACCCUGGUAGUCC
rnacentral:rRNA from 1 species